AACGCAUCUUGCACUAUUCGGCUUCCCCGGAUAGUAUGCCUGGUUGAGUGUCUGUGUAUCUCUCCUAAUCUAAUAUUUUUUUUUGGGGUAUUAGAAUAGGGACUUGGGGUCCUAACUCGUCGGAAACACCCUUUGCUGGUGUGUACCCGGUGAACCCUUUAAAUAUAGUAAGCUCCCAUCUGUUUCCAUUGGAAAUACGCAAACUUGGGGAUGGCGUCGUAGCAAUCUUCGUAUUGUCGAAACGCCUAUCACUCCUCUAAUCUGCGGUGCUAAUCCAUGUGGGUGGGCGAAGCUUGGCGACUGGCAAAGUGCCAUGCUCUAAACUUAUAUUCUCUCAGAGCACACGAACAAUAAUGACCUCAACUCAGGUAGGACGACCCGCUGGACUUAA
rnacentral:misc_RNA from 1 species